UGGGGAAUAUUGCACAAUGGGCGCAAGCCUGAUGCAGCCAUGCCGCGUGUGUGAAGAAGGCCUUCGGGUUGUAAAGCACUUUCAGCGAGGAGGAAGGUGGUGAACUUAAUACGUUCAUCAAUUGACGUUACUCGCAGAAGAAGCACCGGCUAACUCCGUGCCAGCAGCCGCGGUAAUACGGAGGGUGCAAGCGUUAAUCGGAAUUACUGGGCGUAAAGCGCACGCAGGCGGUUUGUUAAGUCAGAUGUGAAAUCCCCGGGCUCAACCUGGGAACUGCAUUUGAAACUGGCAAGCUAGAGUCUCGUAGAGGGGGGUAGAAUUCCAGGUGUAGCGGUGAAAUGCGUAGAGAUCUGGAGGAAUACCGGUGGCGAAGGCGGCCCCCCUGGACGAAGACUGACGCUCAGGCUGCGAAAGCGUGGGGCAGCAAACAGGAUUAGAUACCCUGGUAGUCCACGCUGUAAACGAUGUCGAUUUGGAGGUUGUGCCCUUGAGGCGUGGCUUCCGGAGCUAACGCGUUAAAUCGACCGCC
rnacentral:rRNA from 1 species